AAUGAGGUCGUGUGCGCAUAAAAUUUAUCGCACCUAAAAUUCAUGAUAAUAAGCAGAAAUAAUUAUUUCAUUUUAUCUUUAAAAAGGAUGGAUUAUUUUUCGAGACAAUGAGGUCACUUACACAUAAAACUGAUAAAAUAAAGAUCCUGGAUGGAAAUAUCACUAUUUAUUAAAAACAUAUUAUUUUUCAAGAAGACGAUGUCACUUACUUAUAAUCACUCACGAAAUUGAUGCUUUUUGUGUAUGUUGGUUGGGGCACUAAAAGGCCGCCCGUUUACAGUAGAUCUUAUAGAAUCAGUAUGCACAAGAGCUCAGUGAUAAAAGUUUCAGUUAAAAAGACGCAUCUCAUGGUUAUACCAUAGGAAGGUGGCACAUUUAAUUUACUUACACGUCAUAGUGGAUUGUCAAGGGCCAACACGUAAGAGAAACUACAAGCCACGUUAUAAGAUAAGAAAAGCUUAAGUCAAAAGCUUUUGAAAAUAGUGAUGGUCCAUAAGGACCAUCAUGCUCAUAUGGACCAUCACUUAUU
rnacentral:lncRNA from 1 species